rnacentral:rRNA from 1 species
GACGUAGGGGGCGAGCGUUGUCCGGAUUUAUUGGGCGUAAAGAGCGCGUAGGCGGCCCGGUAAGUCGGAUGUGAAAACCCGGGGCUCAACCCCGGGCCUGCAUCCGAUACUCCCGGGCUGGAGGCAGGUAGGGGAGAUCGGAAUUCCUGGUGUAGCGGUGAAAUGCGCAGAUAUCAGGAGGAACACCGGUGGCGAAGGCGGAUCUCUGGGCCUGUCCUGACGCUGAGGCGCGAAAGCUAGGGGAGCGAACAGG